rnacentral:tRNA from 1 species
GCUGGGAUGGCAGAGUUCGGUGAGUGCGUAAGGCCUAAGCCCUUCUCACAGAGGUUCAAAUCCUCUUCCCAACU